rnacentral:rRNA from 1 species
ACUAACGCUGGCGGCGUGCCUAACACAUGCAAGUCGAACGAUCUUUGAUUAUAGCAAUAUUAUUAAAGAGGAGUGGCGAACGGGUGAGUAACACGUAGAUAAUCUGCCUUCAGACGGGGACAACUCAGGGAAACUUGUGCUAAUACCCGAUGAGACCACAAGAAGGGAUUUUUGUGGCCAAAGGCGGGCAGCAAUGCUCGUGCUGAAAGAUGAGUCUGCGUCCUAUCAGCUAGUUGGUGGGGUAAAUGCCUACCAAAGGCUAAGACGGGUAGCCGGCCUGAGAGGGUGAACGGCCACACUGGGACUGAGACACGGCCCAGACUCCUACGGGAGGCAGCAGUGAGGAAUUUUCCGCAAUGGGCGCAAGCCUGACGGAGCGACGCCGCGUGAGGGAUGACAGCUUUCGGGUUGUAAACCUCUUUUAUUAAAGGAAAAAGAUCUAUAUGCUAAUAUCAUGUAGAUUUGAUGGUACUUAUUGAAUAAGCCCCGGCUAACUACGUGCCAGCCGCGGC